rnacentral:rRNA from 1 species
UACGGAGGGUGCAAGCGUUAUCCGGAUUCACUGGGUUUAAAGGGUGCGUAGGUGGGUUGGUAAGUCAGUGGUGAAGUCUCCGAGCUUAACUUGGAACUGCCGUUGAUACUAUCAAUCUUGAAUAUCGCGUAGGUAAGCGGAAUAUGUCAUGUAGCGGUGAAAUGCUUAGAUAUGACAUAGAACACCAAUUGCGAAGGCAGCUUACUUCACGAUCAUUGACACUGAGGCACGAAAGCGUGGGGAGCAAACAGG